UGUGUAUCGUCUGUUUUUAAGGUGUUCUGUGUUAAAGGCAUUGCGUCUAGCUGGAGAAGCCAAUGACACAUUUACAAAGAAGUCAAUCUAAUCUAUUUUAAUGUCUAUAAUUUUAAAAUAUAUAUACUGUAUUGUAUAAAAAUGUGCAUUAGGAAACCUGUGUCAUUGUGUAGUUGUUCUCAGUUUCCAUGUUAUCUGUAAAAUCUUCUAACAGAGACCUAUCUUGGUGAGUUUGUUUGUGUCAAAGUCAGAGAGCCGUGUCUCUCUACAGUGAGAGGUUUUUGUACGGCGGCUCAAUGAGUUUGUAUCACUGUGGUACACGUUCGGUGGAGGAACCAGACUGGAAGUUAACUUGGGUCGAGUCGUCCCCACCCUGACGGUGCUGCCCCCCUCCAGUGAGCAGCUGCAGCAGGGGACGGCCACGCUCAUGUGCCUGGCCAACAAGGGCUUCCCCUCAGACUGGAGUCUGUCCUGGAAGGUGGACGGCAGCAGCAGCAGCAGCAGCUGGGAGCAGAGCAGCAGCCCCAGGGUGCUGGAGAAGGACGGCCACUACAGCUGGAGCAGCACCCUGAGGCUCUCUGCAGACCAGUGGAGGAAGGUGGGCUCUGUGACCUGUGAGGCCACCCAGGGCUCCCAGACUCCGCUCUCAGAGACUCUGAGGAGAGACCAGUGUUCCCAGUCCUGAUCUGACUCACUGCUUUUACUCUGCUACUGCUCUCAGUCUGCUCUCUUUCUCUGGUUCUCUCAUGAUGUUUCAACAUUAACUUGUUCUUGCUUGUGUUGAUAGUUUUAACAUUUUCAAACAAUAAAGAAUUACAUCGUAUAUUAUAAAAGUGACCAGUCUUUUGAAUUCCUUUCUUUCACAUGUGUUAUAUUUUCGAAACAUGAAUCAGAAAAAUGUGCCAACUUGACAAUUGUAAGAAGUACAUUUUUUAAAACAGUUUUAGACUGUAGACAUGGUGCAGCCAUUUCAAUGGUAAAUCACAAAGCUAUCAGAUUUAACUAAUUUAUACUUUUGAAGAUCCAUAUGUGAAGUUAAUGUCAUUAAAUUUGUAUUUUUAUCAAGGAUCAAUAAUGAUUCAUUUGUAAUCCUAAAUUCCCAAUAUAAAUGGUGCCCCGUGGGAGGCAUUUUACAAUCGCCAAUUGUUCAUAAUUGUUCAAUAUUGAUAUCAGCAUAUCCAUUUUUAUUUCACACCAAAAAUGUAAAAUCCAAUUCCAGACUUGAUAGAAGUCUACAGGAGUAGUUACAUCUGUUCUCACAAAAGUACACUGUGGUGUAAAUUAAUUUAUUCAUACAUUUAGUGAAAGCAAUAAGAGAGAU